rnacentral:rRNA from 1 species
CGGAUGAACGCUGGCGGCGUGCUUAAUACAUGCAAGUCGAACGAUAAGGUCUCUUCGGAGAUACAUAAGUGGCGGACGGGUGAGUAACACGUAGGAAAUCUGCCUCAAGGAGGGGGAUAACACCGGGAAACUGGUGCUAAUACCCCAUAUGUCAUAGAUUGAAAUAUCUAUGAUGAAAGUUCCGGCGCCUUGAGAUGAGCCUGCGUCUGAUUAGCUAGUUGGUGGGGUAAUUGCCUACCAAGGCGACGAUCAGUAGCUGGUCUGAGAGGAUGAUCAGCCACAAUGGGACUGAGACACGGCCCAUACUCCUACGGGAGGCAGCAGUAGGGAAUUUUGCGCAAUGGGCGAAAGCCUGACGCAGCAACACCGCGUGAGGGAUGAAGUUCUUUGGAGCGUAAACCUCUGUCAGUGGGGACGAAUUUUUGACGGUACCCACAAAGGAAGCAUCGGCUAACUACGUG